rnacentral:rRNA from 1 species
AUUGAACGCUGGCGGCAUGCUUUACACAUGCAAGUCGAACGGCAGCGCGGGCUUCGGCCUGGCGGCGAGUGGCGAACGGGCGAGUAAUACAUCGGAACGUGCCCAGUAGUGGGGGAUAGCUCGGCGAAAGCCGGAUUAAUACCGCAUACGACCUGGGGGUGAAAGCGGGGGAUCUUCGGACCUCGCGCUAUUGGAGCGGCCGAUGGCAGAUUAGCUAGUUGGUGGGGUAAAGGCCUACCAAGGCGACGAUCUGUAGCUGGUCUGAGAGGACGACCAGCCACACUGGGACUGAGACACGGCCCAGACUCCUACGGGAGGCAGCAGUGGGGAAUUUUGGACAAUGGGCGAAAGCCUGAUCCAGCAAUGCCGCGUGUGUGAUGAAGGCCUUCGGGUUGUAAAGCACUUUUGGCGGGAACGAAAAGGACUGUGCCAAUACCACGGUUCGAUGACGGUACCCGCAGAAUAAGCACCGGCUAACUACGUG